UUUUUAUUUCCAGAAAGUUUUAUAAUGAGACAAUUUGGAAAAGCUAGGGGAGGUUACAGAGCAGGAAAUGGAAUCCUUCCAUGAAGGCAAGAACCAAGUCAACACUGGGAUGAGUGAAGAGGAUGGAUGUAGCUGUUUGUUAGUAAACAGGAGUCCUACCACUUAACUCAUCAAGAUCUAGAGUUUUAGUGUCACCUAGUCAACCAGGAAGAUUUGGGGUUUGGUUAUCAACUUCUCGAUGGAAAAAAUGUAAAUGUCCAUCAGUAGAGGAAAGGACGAACCCAAUAAUUUAUGCUUCAUCCAUUGAAUCAAAAGGAGAGAUCUCCAAGACAUUAUGUGGUCAAUGGAAACAGAGAAAGGUUCUGAAUAAAACUAGAAGAGGAAAAUUACAGCUUGACUUGGGAAUUAGAAAAGGGAAAAGCUUGUGGCAUGCAAAAUGGUAUUCUUCGUGGAACUUAGGAAAUAGUUUUUCACCAGACACUUCCAACUGAACAUCUA